rnacentral:sRNA from 1 species
GACCUUACCGAGAAAAUCACUUCAAAACAAUUCACAAAGAAUUGUAACGGGAAGAAACAGAAACCAACUUUGCUGACUAACGGUUAAAAAGCGACAGAUUGCAAACUCUGACGUAAAACCGGAAUAUCUUCGGACAGAGGCUCCGCUCAACUAUCAAGAAAUACUGAAGAGGGAGAAGUUCUUAAACCAAAGAGGAUUGGGACGGCGAGAGAACGGCGUUGAGAAAUUUGCUAAAUUGAGCUACUAAGAGAAAGAACAGAGCAGUUUUUUUGUUGAUUGUUAAUACGCACAUCUCAAUUCUCAUGGACAAAGUUAAACUAGAGAUGUUAUCAUUUUGGAAUAACAAAUAAAACAAAA